UACGGGGGGAGCAAGCGUUGUUCGGAUUUACUGGGCGUAAAGGGCGCGUAGGCGGUCGUGACAAGUCACUUGUGAAAUCUCCGGGCUUAACUCGGAACGGUCAAGUGAUACUGUCGGACUAGAGUACAGAAGGGGCAACUGGAAUUCUCGGUGUAGCGGUGAAAUGCGUAGAUAUCGAGAGGAACACCUGCGGCGAAGGCGGGUUGCUGGGCUGAUACUGACGCUGAGGCGCGAAAGCGUGGGGAGCGAACCGG
rnacentral:rRNA from 1 species